rnacentral:antisense_RNA from 1 species
UGGGAGUAGGAAACCCAAAAGAGCCGGCCCUGGAACCAGGUGGAGGGGAGGCAGCCCGGCCAUGACCCAGAGCAGGACAUCUGCUCCACUUCACCUUUUGCCAUGAGUAAAAGCUCCCUGAGGCCUCCCAAGAAGUUGAUGCCCUGUGCUUCCUGUACAGCUGCGGAACCGGAUGGCUUUCCGUGGCUUUGCUACAGCCACUCCUGGAAAUGCUGCCUGACUGAAUCCUCAGGGCACCCCGGCAGGAUGGACGUGGUGUACCCCCUACUUUACAGAUGGGGAAACUGAGGCUUGAGAGCUAAAGCAGCCCACCCAGCUCCCAGAGAUGAGGAGGCCGACUCUGGCAGGAGUCACUGUCGGUGCAUGGGCAUUUCUUCCUGUUACAGCCUGCGGCCCCUUCCAGGCCAGGAGGCCUUCUGUGCAGGUGCCCUGACGUGAUGGUAUGACCCAUUCUGGGAGGCCGAGAGCACCUCAAAGAACUCAGCAGGAAGCACAGUUUCAAUUCAGAAGUUCUGGAAGGCGAGGCAGGACAGGCCACCCUCCCUGCAUGGCCCGAUGACCUGCGCUCCUGUUUCAUCUCCCCGUGUGGCACCUGGGGCAGCUUGGAGCCUACCAAGGUCUCAACAAGGAACCAGUAAAUACCAAAAAAAGGACAUCACGUCCCCUACAGCUAACUGCAAAUGGUGACCAUCCCAGCCCUUGUUUGAUAACACAAGCAAAGCAAUGGCUUCUUCAAGGACACCGAGAGGAACCUCAUCUCUUUCUAAAACCUCCAAUGCAGGGCCAGGCGCGGUGGCUCAUGCGUGUAAUCCCAGCACUUUGGGAGGCCGAGGCAGGUGGAUCACGAGGUCAGGAGAUCGAGACCAUCCUGGCUAACAUGGUGAAACCCCGUCCCUACUAAAAAUACAAAAAAUUAGCCGGG